CUGGGAAGAGGAGAGCCCUUUCCGGCGAACCCCUCUCCGCCCGCCCCAGUCCCGGCGAGGCAAGGAGGCGAACCCAGCCGGUGGCGACGGCGUCCGCUCGCCCUUCUCGCAGUCAGCGGCUCCUUCCUGCGGACGGUGACACCCGGUGGGCGGCGUCCCGGAUGAAGACUACGACUCCCGGCAUGCAUCGCGCGUCCGGCGCACCCGCAGACGGGGCGCUCCCUCUGCCGCGGGGCAUGCCGGGAGUUGUAGUGAGGCUGGGAGGCGCCGCCGCAGAGCGGGAAGGUCGCGGGGGGGGGGGCGGGAAGAAGGCACCGCCCCUCCCCGCCUGAGGGGCGGCGGGCGGGUCGUAGACCCGGAGCGGGAGGCGAUGGCGACCGGCCGGCUGCCUCCCUCAGGCCGUGGCGCAGCGACCGCCAGCGGCAGGGCGGUGGUGUUAGGCCGCCGGCCGUCACCUGCCGCCUGUCAGCGCUGCCUCAAGGGAACUUCGUGACAGGCAGCGGUUAACGUAGCGGCGGCCCCGGUGUCACCGCAGACCACGCGGCCGCACGCCAAGCGCCGGCGUCGAGGAGCGGAGCCGUUUCGAAGCCGUUAUUUCGCGCCUGUGGCGGGAGAGGCGCGGCGGUGGCCGCGGAGCCGGCACGGAAAGCCGCAACAGCCGCCAGUCGCCCGUGGCGUACGUUGAGACAGAUAACGUGGCGUUAGGUUGCGUGACCGAAGAUGAGAGAAAUUUUAUGUAGGUUAUAUACUAAAAAAAAAAAAAAAAAAAAGAUCCCAAACCUAA